UCUGCCAGGACCGGCUCCUGGGAGGGGGCGGGGCCAACAUGGCGCCGAGCGCCGGCUGAGCGGCGCUUUGGCGGCGGUGCGAGCUCUUCGUUCCUGAGACGCUCGACUGGCGGGAGGGGGUCGAGGGGUACCCCGGCCUCGACCCCUUGUCGGGCCUGUGCGGGGACCUGGAAGAGGACGUGUCUCGGGCAACAGUCUGCUGACUUAGAACACAGCAGUGAACACAAUAGACAGAGAUCUCUGUCCAUACGGCGCGGGAGGAGGAGAAUCACUCUGGCAGCUGUGUUGGGAGUAGAAGUCAAGAGCAAGGUGAAAGCCGGAAGAGCUUCUCCGGGGGCUGUUGAAGUUACCCAGGUGAUAGAUGACGGGCACCUGCAGUGGCAAUGGAGGAAUCUGGUUGGAUCACCUAGUGCAGUGGUCGGCAAACUGCGGCUCUCGAGCCACAUGCGUCUCUUUAGCCCCUUGAGUGUGGCUCUUCCUAAGCCUUAGGAGUACCCUAAUUAAGUUAAUAACAAUGUACCUACCUAUAUAGUUUAAGUUUAAAAAAUUUGGCUCUCAAAAGAAAUUUCAAUCGUCGUACUGUUGCUAUUUGGCUCUGUUGACUAAUGAGUUUGCCGACCACUGGUCUAGGACAUUCUAACAUUAAGCAGGUGAGGAGGAAGAACCAGAAAAGGAAACUGAGGGGUAAUGGCCAGUGAGGUAGGAGGAAAACCAGAAGUUGGUGCCACAGUGGAGUAAAAAAGCAGUUUUCAGAAAGUAGUAGUCAGCUAUGCUAUGUACUGCUUUGAGGUGAAAGAAGAUGAGGGAGGACAGAGUGGGCCUUGGAUUUGGCAAUGUGAAGUCAUCCAUGACCUUGAGAGUUUCAGGGACCUAGAGGGACAAAAGCCUGAUUGGAGUAGGUUCAAGAGAGGAGAGGAGAAUUAGAAACAAAGUUAAGACAACUUUUUGAGGGAGUUUUAUUGCAAGGAGGAGAAAAAAUGGGGCAUAUCAUAUAGAGAAAGUGAAAUAAAAGAUUUGCUUUAAUGUUUAAUUUGGUAAAAUACACAUAAAGCCCGCCAUCUUAACGAUUUUUAAGUGUAGUUUAGUGGCAUUAAAUACAUUCACAUUGUGUAACCGUCACGACAAUCCGUUUCCAGAACACUUCACAUUAUAAAACUGAAAUUCUGUCCCUAUUAAACAAUAACUUCCCAUUCCCCCUCCUCCGGCCCCUAGCAACCACCGUUCCACUUUCUGCCUCUGAGUUUGACUACUUAAGACCCUCACACAGGUGGAAUCAUACCAUAUUUGUCCUUUUGUGACUGGCUUAUUUCAGUCAGCAUAAUGUCCUCAGGGUUCAUUCAUGUAGCAUGUGUCAGAAUUUCCUUCUUUUUAAGGCU